GCGGUAGUAGCUUCAAUUGGAUAGAGCGAUGCGCUUCGGACGCAUAGGUUGCGGGUUCGAGUCCUGCCUGCCGCACCA
rnacentral:tRNA from 2 species